CUCUGUGACUGGCUUGCUUGAUAGUUAGGGUCUGAUUGCUGCCUGAGACACCAUAUCGGUACUCCUCAGAGUUGGUGUAUAUUUAAUUUUUUAUUAGGAAAAAUGACCAUCAUGAAUGCUGUUACAUCUUUGCCUAUAAUACUCAGCAGAAUCUUACCAUUUUCUGCGAGGAUAGUCACUGGAUCAGAAGGUUCAGAAGAGAAUAGACACCUUGAUGGCUCCUCUGGCAGUUCUUGAUGACCAUGGAUGAGCUAAUGGCUGUGGUCUCAAUGGUGGCUUCUUGAGGAGCAUGCAGAGAAAUUGUUUUAGCCUCUGAUAAAUAAAACAGCCUGCCAUGAGAAAAUUACAGCAAGGAAAUUACAGACAUCAUCUCCUUUGAAUAGGGAAAAGGUAACAGGUUGUAAUUGCAGUGGAAGGGGAGACCAAACAUUCAAAGAUUGCUGAAGAGCCAACGAACUCUGAUUCUGUCAAGACGAUGUCUUUGAUUUCUUUCACAAACUUCAAUGGCACAGCCUUUAGCUGUUUAGGAAAAUGCAAGAAGACAUAUGUAGAUGAGACAAAGAUAGACCAUGUCUAUACAUGUAUGAAAUGGAUGGGAGACAAAGGAAGCCACGCUCAUGAGCCAGGACCAUAAAAGCCACAAAAAUAUAAGAAAUGAAUGGGACUACUCUCUGAUCAUUGAAAAAGAGAGACAGAACAUUUGAUGGAGGCAGAAAGAGCGAGGAGUCAG
rnacentral:antisense_RNA from 1 species